UACAGACGGGGCUGGCUGCGUCAAGCUGCACGCAAAAAACCCGCAUGCAAGAGCGGACAUGCUUCCUGAAAGUAGAGCAGCGCUCUAACAAUCAACUCACACUUAAGUUGGUGUAUGUGGGACGGCUGGGUCACUGCAGCGAAGAAGUCGGUGAGUCUGGCUCUCACGUGCGGCCGUAGCCAGUCCAAUCCUCUUACAGCCUCCCCCUCUUCCCCCAGCAGUCGGGCCAGACUAUGAGAUCGGCUUGCUGAGUCCAGGUCUUAUCCUGAAGAUGCCGCAGAUCCUCGGCACAGAGUCACGCCAGCAUGCAUCAGAAACCACAGCCAACCCAUUUACCUCAGCACACACUUCACACGCUGUGCUGACUUUAAGAUGCACCCACUUUCAUUGAGUUUUGUUUUAUUGUUAGAAUAUCUGUAAGCAAAAACACAUCAACUGGUCAGCGCACUCAUCUAAUUGCAUGUCACCUUCUUUUUCUUAUUAAAAUAUAAUGCUAAAAACAUUUUAGUUAUACACUAAGGCAAUGGAGCUCUUUAAGUUCGUCAAGCUUUAUUUAUUCACACUUGUUUAACAUGACAACUUAAACUGAAUAUAUUCACUUGGAUAAACUUGACUGGACUACUUGCAACAAAUAAACUAAUGGGGGUUUUUUUUAA